AUUGAACGCUGGCGGCAGGCCUAACACAUGCAAGUCGAGCGAGCGGCGGACGGGUGAGUAAUGUCUGGGAAACUGCAUGAUGGAGGGGGAUAACUACUGGAAACGGUAGCUAAUACCGCAUACCAUCAGAUGUGCCUAGAUGGGAUUAGCUAGUAGGUGGGGUAACGGCCCACCUAGGCGACGAUCCUUAGCUGGUCUGAGAGGAUGACCAGCCACACUGAAACGGAGACACGGUCCAGACUCCCACGGUAGGCAGCAGUAGGGAAUGUUGCGCAAUGGGCGCAAGCCUUAGACAGCCAUUCCGCGUGUGUGAAGAAGGCCUUCGGUUUGUAAAGCACUUUCAGCGGGGAGGCGUUACCCACAGAAGAAGCACCGGCUAACUCCGUGCCAGCAGCCGCGGUAAGAC
rnacentral:rRNA from 1 species